GAGGGAGGCGAAGCGUGAGGAAGUCACCAGAUAGCAGGAACUGGUCCAGAAGGGCUUUGGCAGUCGGCAAGCAGGAGCUUUAUACCACGGCCUGGGGGGCCCGGCUGCCCAAGCUCUGGCUGCCUGGGUGGGUGGCCAGGACCCCUACUCUGCAGAGCCCUGCCCCAGCACUGCAAAAGAAGGACAAAGAAGGGAAAUGACAGUGAUUUCAGAAGAUUCCUGCAAGCAACCAAGCUGAGGACUGAAGACAAUACACUAAUCAUACCAGCAUAAGUGAAGAGCAAGGAAAUGGCAGAGCUGACGAUUAUCCUCCUCAUCGUAAGAGCUUUCCCACAGCCAAAUUAUAAGAUCUAACUGCACUUCGGAAGCUGAUGUGUCUUUGUCUCCUCCACGUUUUUACAGUUUUGCCUCAUGAGGAAGCAUGCAUCACCGCCAGGUGGUGGUGGGAGACACCGAGGAGGAGCCCCAUACACAGACCCCCUGGCUCUGUCCACCUCAUCCCAGCCCUCCCAGGAGAUGCCUGCUUGUUGGAUGUCAGUCAGAGGACAUGCUGAAAUCAGACGCCACAGGGUGUCUCAUCCCUUCACACGGAUGGCUCUGCCUUAGCCCAUCUGGCUGAAGACAGGAAGGUGACAGGAAGGUGACAGCCAAUCAGUCCCAGAAAUCCAGUCGGCUCUCCCUGGGGCUGGUGCGUUGGCCCCUUGUGACCACAGCUGAAUGCAAUGGAUCCCUGCCCAAGUGGCAGAGGCGCGGUGACGGCUUGCUCCGGCUGAAGACCCCUCUCUCCUUGUGCUCUGGGCUAGCACUCAUGUCCUUCCAGGAAGGGGAGCCCUCGCACCCAAGUCCAGCGUAGUCCUUUUCCAGUGCUGCACUGCGAUCGGCACUGAGUUACUCCAGGACUGAUGCUCGGAGGACUCAUGUACCCUCACAACGAGGGCAGCGUCUGCCAUGUACAAGUUGCUCAACAAAUGUCUGUAAAUGAAUAACCGGAUGGAUGAUGUGGAGUGUGCUUUCUCAUUCUUGGACGCCCAGAUUCUAUCGGUUCAGGGUA